UACAUAAAUCCUGCAAGUUCAUGGAAAGAUCUUGCAUGAUCUUGCAAGAUCUUUCUAAGUUCUUGCAGGAUCUUAUGCAAGAUCUUGCAGGAUCUUGCAAGAUCUUGUCAUGAUCUUGGCAAGAUCUUACAAGAUGUUUGGUAAGAUCUUCCAGGAUCUUGGCAAGAUCUUGCAGGAUCCUGUAAGAUCUUGCAAAAGAUCCUGCAAGAACUUGGAAAGAUCUUGCAAGAUCAUGCAAGAUCUUUCCAUGAUCUUGCAGGAUUUAUGUA